CUAAAACCAUUAUGAAUAAUAAAGUUGAUUCAAAAAUUUUUAAAUUUUAGUACUGCCAAGGAACCUUAAUUUUUAUUAAGCCAAGAUUCACCUUUACCUUUUGCAUUAUGGUUUAACUAUUAUAAUCAAGAAACUAUUCCCGAAACAAGAAGAGCUGAUUAUGUCCUGCUUAGAGCCCAACAGUUUAUGUUGCAUCAUAUUUGCCAGAGACACAUCAGAGGCUACAUACCAUUCGCGUCUUGCUAUAGCUGGCUUUUCAUAAAAACUAUCAAAGUAGAUUAAACACAAAGUGUUAUUUUAUAUGCUUGGGGCUAAGCUGAAGCAUAAAUCCUUUAAUUCAUAUUUUUACACCUCAUUAUAAAUAGACCUAAUAUUGGCCUUAAAACUUUAUAAUUUCUAUUCCUUUAUACAAAAAUCUAUUGCCUACAAUAAUCCCUGUAAUGAAAACCCUAGUAAACUAGAAACAAAAGAUACGCUGUUAAAAUGAGUAUUUCUACCCCCCUUUUUAAACACUAAAAACUAAAAUCACCUGUUUAGAAGAGAAUAUAAAAAUAAGGAACUCGGCAAACUCUAUGCUCCGGCUGUUUAUCAAAAACAUCGCCUCUAGAUAUUGGUAUUAGAGGUCCAUUCUGCCCUAUGCCCUACGGGGUAAAUGGCCGCGGUAGCCUGACCGUGCUAAGGUAGCAUAAUCAUUUGCCGUUUAAUUGAUGGCUGGAAUGAAUGAAUAUACGAGAGCUCAACUGUCUCAUUUUUACAAAUAUAAAUUGACCCUCAAGUGAAGAGACUUGAAUUCUUAAAAAAGACGAAAAGACCCUAUAGAGCUUUACCUGAAAUUUAUAUCUCAUAUAAUAAAGGUUUAGUUGGGGCAACUAGAGAGCACCUAAAACCUCUCUUUAAAUUUACUAAUAGUGAUCCGUUUUUACGAUAAGUAGAAAAAGCUACCUUAGGGAUAACAGGCUAAUUCUCUUUAAGAGACCAUAUUGACAAGAGGGAUUGGCACCUCGAUGUUGGCUCAAGGUUACAGUUUGAUGCAGCAGUCAAACAAAGUAGGUUUGUUCACCCUUUAAAUCCUUACGUGAGCUGAGUUCAGACCGACGUAAGUCAGGUCAGUUUUUAUCUUUUUAAUUCCCUUCAAUUGUACGAAAGGACCUUGAUGGGAAAACAUUUUUAAAUUAUGAUUUCCAAUAAUUUCUAAUAAACAACUUACCUUA
rnacentral:rRNA from 1 species